GUUGGCCAUGUAUUCGUACACGAUACAGCCGUACUCCGGGCAGGCACCCAGGAGCAGCACCAUGUUCGGGUGCCUGAUGCAGCUCAGCACCUCAACCUGCGCAACCAAAGGGAAGCAUCAAGGCGAACCUGCAACAGGUAUCGGUUUGAUCCCAUGCUCAUCCACUCUGCUUACCUCUUGUUGAAACUGCGACCUCCCUUGAGCUGCAUCCGGGCGCAGAACUUUGACGGCCACCGCCGUGUGAUCCAGAUGGCAUUUGUAGACCGGGCCAUAGCCACCCUCUCCGAUCUUACGAUGCUCUGCGAAGUAUUCCGUGGCAAUUUCGAUAUCCUCAAUGGUGUACUUCCUGUACCUCACGUCCGCACGAGGUGCGGAAUC
rnacentral:lncRNA from 1 species